UUAACAACAAAUGAUUAGCACAGACAAAAGAAUUGAAGGAAGGAAGAAGCCGAAUCCUUGGUGAAAUACUUCUCUGGACCUGAGAAAAAAGAUGGAUUAAAGGGACACAUUUACGCAUUAUUAAAAGAUGGGUCCACAUGAAACCAUCAUUGGGAUGACAUUCAAUAAGGAAGAAAAAAGAAUAAUGAUACAAUCCUAAGGAAUAUCAAUAUUCAUGAAGUUGGGAAGAGAAAUCAGGUAACACAAAGAAAGUGCAAAUCAGAGGAGCAGAUGGACAAAGUAAAGACAAGCAUCAAGAAAGCCAUGGAUGAAGAGUUUUAAGAGGGAAGUGCCCUUUGGAAAGGUGAAGUACAAUAAUACAUAACAAGCUCACUAGAUGUGGCAAUUAGGAUACCAGUGUGGCCUUUGAGGGGACAAUUUCAAUGGAGUAGUGAAAACAGAAGAACAGAGAAGCUCCCUUACACCACUUACAUGGGCUACUGAGAGAAUGGGAAGUUAGCAAAUGGAGACAUUAAUUUUCUAUUUCAUUUUCAAAAACCUUGGAUGACACAGAGGGAGGGGGAGGGAACAAUUUGAGUAGGAAUAAUGUUAAGGGAGGUCCUUGUCUCAAUCUUUUCCUGCUGCUAUAACAGAAGGCCUUGGACUGGGUAAUUUACAAACAACAGAAAUUUAUUUCUUACAGUUCUGGAGGCUGGGAGGUCCAAGAUUAAAGCAACAGAAAAUCUGAUGUCUGGUGAAAACGCCCUCUCUGCUUCCAAGAUGGCGCCUUGUUGCUGUGUCCUCACAGGGCAGAAAAGAUGGAAGAGCAAAAGGGACCAAUGCUCUGUGAAGCCUCUUUUAUAUGGGCAUGAAUCUCAUUCACGAAGGUGGAGCCCUCAUGACCUAAUCACCUUCUAAAAGCCCCAUUGCUAUCUUUUUUUAAAAUUAAUUAAUUAAUUUUUUAUAUCUGUAGGUUAUUGGGGAACAGGUGGUGUAUGGUUACAUGGGUAAGUGCUUUAGUGGUGAUUUGUGAGAUUUGGGUGCACCCAUGACCCAAGCAGUAUACACUGCACCCCAUUUGUAGUCUUUUAUCCCUCCCCUCCUUCCCACCCUUUCUCCCUGAGUCAAGGCCCCACCUCUCAAUACUAUCACACUGGUGAUGAAAUUUCAACAUGUGAAUUUUGGAAGAACACAUUUAGACCACAGCAUCCCUUUAGGAUAGUGGAGAUUUGAACACACUUAUAAACCCCAGGCAAUCUUAGAAACUGGAAAGAAGUAAUCUUACAAAAAAUAAAACAAAGUGUUAGUUUAUACAGAUGUAAUUAAUAAAUAGAGUCCUCCUAAAUGGAUAUUCAUUAAAGAAUCAUUUAAAUAAAUUGAAGUGCUACCAUUUUGCAGGAUUUUUCUUUGGUCAAUGAAUAUGACCAAAUAUUAUAAAAAUAUUUUCUGAGCAUUAGCGGGCUUUGUGUAUUCAAAGUAUUAAUGGGAUGCAACAUCAUGAAAUGUAAGACAAGUUGGCAAGUGUUGAUGUAGUGGGAAGGGUCAUGAAAUUGGAAUCUGGAGACCCAUAUCUGUCACCGACCAAUCAUUUAAGCUCUUCAGAUCCCUAGUCUUCCAUUUCAAGUUGAGGAGAGGAGGUUGGCCAAGAUGGUCUAGUCUUCCCUAGGUAAUUUUUGGGUUUUUUUGUAAUUUUUAUUUUAAGUUCUGGGGUACAUGUGCAAGAUGUACCCCAGAUGUGCAGGUUUGUUACAUAGGUAAACAUGUGCCAUGCUGGUUUGCUGCACCUGUCAACCCAUCAAUCCCUAGGUAUUUUGUAAGGGCUCCUUUCAACUCCAGUAAAUUUGGUUGUUUCUCAAGCUAGAUUUAUCUCAUUCCAAGGUCUAUGGACAUAUUCUCCUGGGUCUUUGAGUUCACAAUGAAAAAUCCUGAAUUUUAUAUUUUCAUUUUAAUAAUAAAGGACUAAAUUUUUGAUAAUAUGAAAGACAAACCCAUGUCUGCUGAUUUCAGCACCUGCAUUUAUUUUUGUAUUUACAAAUGUAUUAAAUACAUGUAGUUUGGCUUUUUGAUAUCCUAAAAGGAUUUCAAGUAAAAUUUAGUAAGUUGGAAAGCUUCUCUAGUUACCUGUGAUUGUUUGUUCUAUUUUCUUUUUCUUUUUUUUUUUUUGAGACAGAGUCUCGCCCUGUCACCCAGGCUGGAAUGCAGUGGUGUGAUCUCGUCUCACUGCAACCUCUGCCUCCUGGGCUCAAGCGAUUCUUCUACCUCAGCCUCCCAAGUAGCUGGGACUGCAGGUGCGUGCCACCAUGCUGGGCUAAUUUUUGUGUUUUUAGUAAAGACAGGGUUUCACCAUGUUGGCCAGGCUGGUCUUGAACUCCUGACCUCAGGUGAUCCGCCUGGCUUGGUCACCCAAAGUGCUGGGAUUACAGACGUAAGCCACCUGCCCAGGCUAGUUUGUUCUAUUUUCAAACUGAUAACCUACAUUCUGGAUCUACCAAUAAAUUUAUGUUGAAUUAUUUCAUCUCAUUAAUGACAAAACUUUAAUUUUACAUCAAUAAUUUUCAACUAAAAGGUGUUUCCAUAAGUUAAGAUUUUCAUUUAUUUCUUUUCUUUUUUUGAGAUGGAGUCUCGCUCUGUCACCCCAGCUGGAGUGCUGUGGUGUGACCUGGGCUCACUGCAAUCUUUGCCUCUCAGGUUCAAGCGAUUCUCCCACCUUAGCCUCCCGAGUAGCUGGGAUUACAGACAUCUGCCACCAUGCCUGGCUCAUUUUUUCUUGUGUUUUUAGUAGAGGCAGGGUUUCACCAUGUUGGCCAGGCUGGUCUUGAACUCCUGGCCUCAAGCGAUCCACUUGCCUUGACCCCCCAGAGUGCUGGGAUUACAGGCACAAGCCACCACACCUGGCCAGGUAAGACUUUCAUUUCUUUCUUUCUUUCUUUUUUUUUUUUUUUUUUUGAGAUAGAGUUUCACUCUCGCUGCCCAGGUUGGAGUGCAAUGGCACAAUCUCAGCUCACCACAACUUCCACCUCCCGGGUUCAAGCGAUUCUCCUGCCUCAGCCUCCCAAGUAGCUGAGAUUACAGGCAUGCACCACCACGCCCAGCUAAUUUUUUUGUAUUUUUAGUAGAGAUGGGGUUUCUCCAUGUUUGUCAGGCUGGUCUCAAACUCCCAACCUCAGGUGAUCUUCCCACCUUGGUCUCCCAAAGAAGACUUUCAUUUCUUAAGUGAUUUAACAUAUUGAUACUUUGACGUGACACCAUGGAAAUAACAUAUGGCAUCAGUCUUCUAGCCUCAAGGGCUAGAAGAAGAUGCUCAGAUCAACCCAAGGUCAAAAGACAUUUUAUUGCUCUGAAGAAACAAAAUCUUUGCAGAAAUUUGAAUGAAAAAAUGCGGUGGCAAAAUGGAGUUUUUACAUUACAAACAAUACUACAGGUGCAUGGAACUGAAAAGAACCUUUGCCAUUAACAUCAGUACCCUUUUCACAUCAAGCGAGAGGUUUCCAUUUUAAUGAAACAACCUGGCUGGGCGCAGUGGCUUAUGCCUGUAAUCAAAGCACUCUGGGAGGCCAAGGCGGAAGUAUCGCUUGAGACCAGGAGUUCAAGACCAGCUUACAUUAAAUUACUUUAUUUGAUUAUUAUUAUUAUUUUGGUUUGUGGUUUGUACUUAAUUUAUAAUUUUAUUUUUAUUUGAUAGUUGUAUAAAAACUAUAGAUAUAAGUAAGGGGUUUGUACAUGGAUUUAUGCUUAUAGAUAUUUAAGUAACAUUUUGAUUAAAUAAUUUAGGUUACCAUGUGUACCUUAUUAAUUUUUUAAGACAUACAUAUGUAAGCCUUGAGAAUCUGGUUUGGAUUAUACAGCUCUAUCUAUUUCUCUAAAUUCUCCUAAGCUAAGAGUGGGGAAGCAGACAGUAUUUGUGGCUGGGGGAUGCUGAUGGCACACAGAAAAGCCUAAAAAUUAUGG
rnacentral:lncRNA from 1 species